rnacentral:rRNA from 1 species
UGCAGCCGAGCGGUAUGGAUAGCUUGCUAUCCAGAGAGCGGCGUACGGGUGCGUAACACGUGUGCAACCUGCCUUUAUCUGGGGGAUAGCCUUUCGAAAGGAAGAUUAAUACCCCAUAAUAUGGUGUCCGGCAUCGGUCGCCAUUGAAAGCCUCGGCGGAUAGAGAUGGGCACGCGCAAGAUUAGAUAGUUGGCGGGGUAACGGCCCACCAAGUCGAUGAUCUUUAGGGGUCCUGAGAGGGAGAUCCCCCACACUGGUACUGAGACACGGACCAGACUCCUACGGGAGGCAGCAGUGAGGAAUAUUGGACAAUGGGUGGAAGCCUGAUCCAGCCAUCCCGCGUGAAGGAUGACGGUCCUAUGGAUUGUAAACUUCUUUUGUACAGGGAUAAACCUGCCCUCGUGAGGGCAGCUGAAGGUACUGUACGAAUAAGCACCGGCUAACUCCGUGCCAGCAGCCGCGGUAAUACGGAGGGUGCGAGCGUUAUCCGGAUUUAUUGGGUUUAAAGGGUCCGUAGGCGGGCCUGUAAGUCAGUGGUGAAAUCUCAUAGCUUAACUAUGAAACUGCCAUUGAUACUGCAGGCCUUGAGUAAAUUUGAAGUGGCUGGAAUAAGUAGUGUAGCGGUGAAAUGCAUAGAUAUUACUUAGAACACCGAUUGCGAAGGCAGGUCACUAAGAUUUAACUGACGCUGAUGGACGAAAGCGUGGGGAGCGAACAGGAUUAGAUACCCUGGUGGUCCACGCCGUAAACGAUGCUAACUCGUUUUUGGAUCUUCGGGUUCAGAGACCAAGCGAAAGUGAUAAGUUAGCCACCUGGGGAGUACGUCCGCAAGGAUGAAACUCAAAGGAAUUGACGGGGGCCCGCACAAGCGGUGGAUUAUGUGGUUUAAUUCGAUGAUACGCGAGGAACCUUACCAAGACUUAAAUGGGAAUUGACAGAUUUAGAAAUAGAUCCUCCUUCGGGCAAUUUUCAAGGUGCUGCAUGGUUGUCGUCAGCUCGUGCCGUGAGGUGUUAGGUUAAGUCCUGCAACGAGCGCAACCCCUGCCAACAGUUGCCAUCAUUCAGUUGGGGACUCUGUUGGGACUGCCUACGCAAGUAGAGAGGAAGGUGGGGAUGACGUCAAAUCAUCACGGCCCUUACGUCUUGGGCCACACACGUAAUACAAUGGCCGGUACAGAGGGCAGCUACCUGGUGACAGGAUGCGAAUCUCGAAAGCCGGUCUCAGUUCGGAUUGGAGUCUGCAACUCGACUCUAUGAAGCUGGAAUCGCUAGUAAUCGCGCAUCAGCCAUGGCGCGGUGAAUACGUUCCCGGGCCUUGUACACACCGCCCGUCAAGCCAUGGAAGUCUGGGGUACCUGAAGUCGGUGACCGUAAU